CCCGUCGGGAGGCAGCUUAGGGCCCGAUUAUCAGGGAUUGCGUUGGUGAGUUAUUGUUAACCAAAGGGUUAACCAGUGGAUUGGAUAAAUUCAGUAAAAGCACGCAUGCAUAUUUACAGAUUUCCUAUAUUGCUUUCUUUCAGCUUUGUACAGGCAUUGUAGUAGUUACAUGUUAUAGUUGGUUACUAUCUGUUUACUUCUUUUGCCUACAUAUGCCUGAAUAGACCUAGUGGGUGAGUCGGCGAGGUCGGCGGCCGAACCCACUGGGAACUUUUAGUAGUUCUCACACCACUAACCAUACAGGUUCCAGUGCGAGCGUUGUGGCCGAGGAUCGCGGUAAGAGCCCUGCAGCCUAACUAGCAGACACCAGUGUUUAGUGGUAUACCAUUUUGAGUUCAUGUGAGACAUUUUGAUGUACUGAGACAUGUAAAUGGAUGUAUUAUAAAGCAUGUAAAUAACUAAAUGUUUCAGUUAUUUAGUUAUGUAAAGUUCAGUUUAAAAGUUUUAAAUUACAGUGAAUUUUCAGUAUAGCUAGCUUACUAUCACUUGUGAUUGUUGCUUGCCCUCGUGCAAGCCAUGUAUAUUGAAAUGUUAUCCUGGGGAUUGUUUAUUUCUUUAUACAUGUACUCGUUGUUGUUGAGCCUUGGGCGGACAGAGGAGGUUCUGUCCGUUCGGCGUCUGUGUACGGGCCCGAAUUGACCAAAUUGGCGAUAGCGGGACGUGACAGUUACGGCGGAGACCAUUCCGACUGGAUCGAGAAAUUUGGCCUCUGGCUCUGCGGAGAUGGAAGCGGAGAGGGAGCGAGCUUUGGCAGCCCUCAUGACCUUCAAGAGGUUCAAUCCGCCUAUCUUCGACGAACAGACUGUGGAUCUGUGGGUCGUGGAAA
rnacentral:lncRNA from 1 species